rnacentral:rRNA from 1 species
GACGAACGCUGGCGGCGUGCUUAACACAUGCAAGUCGAACGGAAAGGCCCUGCGUUUGUGGGGUGCUCGAUUGGCGAACGGGUGAGUAACACGUGAGUAACCUGCCCUUGACUUUGGGAUAACUUCAGGAAACUGGGGCGAAUACCGGAUAGGAUCUCCUGCUGCAUGGGGGGGGUUGGAAAGUUUCGGCGGUUGGGGAUGGACUCGCGGCUUAUCAGCUUGUUGGGGGGGUAGUGGCGUACCAAGGCUUUGAAGGGUAGCCGGCCUGGGAGGGUGACCGGCCACCUUGGGCCUGCGAUACGGCCCAGACUCCUACGGGCGGCAGCAGUGGGGAAUAUUGCACAGUGGGCGGACGCCUGAUGCAGCAACGCCGCGUGCGGGAUGCCGGCCUUCGGGUUGUAAACCGCUUUCGCCUGUGCCGAAGCGUGAGUGACGGUAAUGGGUAAAGAAGCACCGGCUAACUACGUG